AAAGGGCUCCCGUCUUUCUUUUUAUUUCUUCUUUAAUUUCCCAUUGAUGUACAUGGACGAGCCGUUUUAUGCCCACCAAGGGAGGUCAAACGAAGGAGCUGAUCAUUCAUAAGAAAUAUUACUAAGCUUUGGUUUGUUUGAAACCCCCAUUUCAAUUUUUCUUUUUUGAUAUUUGUUUGCGUUCCUUUAAUUUCUGGAAUGUCUACAUAAUUAAAGAAACACCAGUGAAUCUCACGUGCUGAUUGGUCGUGAGCUUUAAAUGAGUG